GGCCAUGGCUCUCCGGAGAGGAAGAGAAGAAAGAUUGGCUUUCUUGGUGUGUCCCAACGGGAUCGAUGUGAAGCUGCAUCAUCUGAGGUUACAGUUAAACCUCGGAGGAAGAGAACGUUGGAUGAUUUGACAGAUGCUCCAUGUGGAAGCAGCUCAGGCAGCUGUUGGAAGAGAAAGAA